rnacentral:rRNA from 1 species
AACGAACGCUGGCGGCAUGCCUAACACAUGCAAGUCGAACGAGACCUUCGGGUCUAGUGGCGCACGGGUGCGUAACGCGUGGGAACCUGCCCUUAGGUUCGGAAUAACUCCCCGAAAGGGGUGCUAAUACCGGAUAAUGUCUUCGGACCAAAGAUUUAUCGCCUUUGGAUGGGCCCGCGUUGGAUUAGCUAGUUGGUAGGGUAAAAGCCUACCAAGGCGACGAUCCAUAGCUGGUCUGAGAGGAUGAUCAGCCACACUGGGACUGAGACACGGCCCAGACUCCUACGGGUGGCAGCAGUGGGGAAUAUUAGACAAUGGGCGAAAGCCUGAUCCAGCAAUGCCGCGUGAGUGAUGAAGGCCUUAGGGUUGUAAAGCUCUUUUACCCGGGAUGAUAAUGACAGUACCGGGAGAAUAAGCUCCGGCUAACUCCGUG